rnacentral:lncRNA from 1 species
AAUCAAUUCCUCAAGCAGACCUAGCUCACCACCAUCACCACCAUUCACCACUAAUCAGUCCCUUCAAAGGACAAUUGAAGACCAAACCUAGCUCCCCAUCUGUCCACUAGCUUCCCAAAUCACCUUUAGGUUUUAAUCGAAGACUCUCGACUAGCGUCAAGUCAUGGAUAUCAGUCCUUUGUUUGAUAGCUUUAACACCAACUCUGGUGGUCUUCAUCCUCUAGCCGCACGCUUUAUCCUCCGUUAGCAUCCUCGAAGUCUCAUAGUCGAUAGGCAAGUGUCGGUUCUGAACAAAUUCCUUUUUUUUUUAUUUAAUUGUUCAAUGCCUGGGAGAAUGACAAUACAAAAAUUACCAGAAAAGGAAAAAAUUUUGGCAAAUAUUUGAGGAGUAAAUGCGUACUAAUUGGGUGUCAUUUUAUAAUAUUAACAAAAGCAAAAAAAAGUCUUGAAAAAUACUGCCAAUGUUGUCGAACUUUCUAUUUGAUAUUUAUAACACGAUGAAAAUCAAAAUUUGCUGCAUUUACAUUUUUAAAUUCUCUUAUAAAGUUGUACAUGCUAAUUCUAACUUAAGUUAGAGAUUGAAAAGUUUUAAAUGUCUUGUAAAAGUAUAAUUUUGUGGAGGAAGAGUAUUUGUUAAGGCAUAUCUUAGAUAUACUUAUGAUUCACACUUUAUAGGUGCAUGUUUAACAUCAUGGCUAUUCUGCUCAUUGAUAAUAAGAUAGGCCCAGUCCCAUUUUUCUAGUCAAAUUUUGUAGUUGUUCUGAUUAAAUUUUGCACUAUUAAAAGUCAAAAACCACUUUCCAAAUCUCCUAUAUGAAUUUUAAAUUGGUCUUGAUACUCUCAAAUAUUGAAAAUUAGUUGGAGAAUAUGAUUGUGGGAGGUCUGACUUCAUCCCCUUGGCACUUUUUAUUUAUGGGAUUACUGUUGAUCAAUAUAAAAUACAUUAUGUAUUCUAGCAAUUAGUAGAUUUGAGCAUAGUCGUACAACUGAAAUGUAUGCUUUAGAGUUUGUGAUUUUUGGUAUUCAACUAGUAAAACCUUCUGGAGAAUGCUAGGACAUAUUUGGGACCUUUUAUGAAAUCUUGUGGCCAUCAUGGAAGGUAGGAGUAGGUAAUUGUUUAAAGCUUAGAUGGUAGCUUCCUUUAUGAAGUCUUUGGUGUUGUGUAUGUUUUCCAGCCUACAUGACUAGUAACGAAGAACUUGUGCUUUAUCCAUGAGUGGACAAAAAUGAACUGCUAAGGCUCAUGUUCCAUGUGCAGUCAACUUCUAUGUAAUAUAUUCCAUGGAUUUGGAAGCAUUGAUUAAGCUUCGAAAUUUACAUUUCUGAUUUGUUAAAUUUAAUAUUCAUAUGCUUUGCAUGGAUCCAUGAAGCAAGUCUAGAAUGUAUUUUGGAUUGCCAUCUAGGAUGCUAAUGAUUGACUAAUUGGUGGCCUCUUGUUACCGGAUUUCAUUAAUGAACUUGAUAACAUAAUUUGUAACUUGUAAGCAUUGAUAGGUUAGUUUUUACUUUUUGCUCAUGUCUUUCUAUUUUCCUUUGUGUAUAGUUAAAGGAAACUGAAUCACAAUAUUGAUACGUCUCUCCAAGAGCAAUCUUCAAAAAUAAUUAGAUUAGCUAGUGAUUCUGCUAGUCCCAUAGAUAUCAACAACAAAGAGGCUAGGAUUGACAAUCAAGAAGAGCUGGAUUACUCUUUUGGAGAUGAAGAAUUAGGGAGUGAAGAAGUGGGGUUAGAAGAUGAUACACAUACAACCACCCAAACUACAAAUCAAGAGGUUGUUAUAGGUGAUGGUUUAGAUGCUUUUAGAAAAAAGAAGAGAGCCAAAAAAUCUAAAGCAUGGGAUGAAUUCAAAGAUGUAGAAGUUGGGCUUCAAAAACUUCUCAUGUCAAGGUGUAUUCAUUGCCAUGCGAAAUUCAAGAAGAUCAAAACCAAUACAACUACAAGUUUGCUAAGGCAUAUGAAUUCAAAUCCUCAAUGACUGCAAAAACUUAUAAAAGCACAAGUACAACAGCAAGCUUAAUUUCCCAUCUACUGAUUCUGUCACACCUUCAGAUUCCUACCUUCAUAUUGGAAUGUUCGAUAUGGCUGCCAUGAGAGAAGCUGUGGUUGAAUGGAUGCUUAUGCACGAGCAUCCCUUUUCAAUUGUAGAGGGAUGCUCAAAUGGCAAAAAAUUAGUUGAACUAUGAACAAGAACGAUUGCAUGGCUGUUUUUGAAAAAGAGGAGCAAAUUGAACAAUUUGUUGAAGAAAGUCAAGAAAAUCAGCUUGAAUACAGAUUUUUGGAAGUCUUAGAACCAAAAGAUUGAGUUUAUGGUUAUAACUUGGCAUUGGAUUGAUAGUCACUGGAGAUUGCAGAAAUGGGCCUUCAACUUUGUACAUGUGCCUCCUUCAUGUUGGGGCAUCUAAAUUGCAGAUGCUAUUUUCAAAUGCUUAAAGGACUGGGAAUUGAGAGCAAGGUUUAUACAGUCUUAAUGGAUAAUGCCUUAAAUAAUGACACUGCAUUAAAUUCAUUGAAGGACACCUUCUCCAGAAACAAGUGCCUAUUAGCAAAAGGGAAGUUAUUUAUGUGAGAUGAUGUGCUCAUAUAAUUAAAUUGAUGGUUUAGGAUAGUCUUAGUGAAAUCAAAGAAAUAGUUGAUAUGGUCGGGGACAAUGUAGAGUUUGUAAACAAAACAGAUAGAAGAUGCUUACUCAUUGCUAAGAUUGUGCAACAGCUGCAAUUGAUAAGAGUUUAUUUUACGUAUUUUUAGUGUGUUUUAUUAGUUAAUUUUGGUUUGAUUAUUUAGUUUUAUAACUAAAAUAACUAAGGUUUUGGUAAAAAACUACAUUUUAUGUUAAAGUGGCUAAACAUUGCAUUUUAUGGAUUUUUAUGGUAAAAACUUCAUAUUUUGUAGGUUUAAUGAUUCAAUCAUCAAAUGAAGUGCAUUGAGAAGAUAUUUGGAUGAUUGAAGAUGGAUUAAAGUGGGGAAAAUAAAAUAUGAAGUGUAAAAGGAAGAAAUGCAAUUUGAGGACAAAAAUCAAGAAAAGUCAGCUUUGACAACUCAGACACAUUUUCGUAUUUUGACUAUAUCAGGAGCUACAAUGAUCGGAUCAAGGUGAUCUUGGUACCAUUUUGAAGCUAAGAGAUAUAUCUACAUUUGGUAUGAAUACAUCAAAGUCCAAUUCAUCCGUUUUCAUAGUCCAAAAGUUGAAAUACCGAAAUUCAACUCAGCUGUCCAAAGUGGAAAACAGAGUUCCGACCAGUGUUUAGUAUUUUGAUCAUAUCUCAGUCUACAAAGCUCCGAUUUGGAUGAUUCUUGAAGCAUUGGAAAGCUAACUCAAAGAUCUACAACUUUAGUGUUUUGUACAAAAGCCAGUUCGGCCUGCAUCAUGGAGAAAAUCGCAGUUGAAGUAAGGACAAAGUGAAAACGCGAGUGCACAAAACGCGAGUUGUAGACGCGUUUUGUAAAGGCGCGUUUUCUGGCCGAAAUUCUGCAAUUUGCUCAGUCAAUUCUCUUGUGUUCAUACCACUUUCCAGCUAUAAGUUGCAAGAGAAUUCGGUGCACAUGCUUCAGAAGACAAAAGGGCAGACAAGGUGGCUUAUUUUCAAGUCAAAAACAUUUGUUAUUGACUAUCCUAACAAAGUUGAGAUUUGGGAAUCAAAAUGUGGAAUUUGACUUGGAAAAAUGGAGCUCUUAAGCAGUUUAUAUGCAGAGACAUUUUGGGUGGUCUGAGAAGGGGGAAAUAUACGGGAGAAGCUUGAAGAGUGCAGAAAUGUAGUUCUUCCAUUUCCUUAGUGUAGGAUAGUGUAGUAAGUGUAGUUCAUCCAUUCUUGUAUAAUGACUAGAUUAGGAUGAAAAUGGAGAUGAAGAAAGAGAAGUUGAAGCUCAAGUGACAUGGGUUAUCUCUUCUCCAACUCUUUAUCUUUUGUAUUGGAUUCUUAAAUAUAGUUAAUAUGCAAGUUCUGGAAUUUAUGUCUAUUAUGUGUUUCUAAAGUUUAUGCCUUGGGUUUGGUUGAACUUUCUAUGAUUGUUAGUGUUUAUUAUUUGGUUAUUUGAUUACUAUGAUUUGAGCAAGUUAUUUAGCACUUUGACUCUUUAAAUCAUGAUUAAUCUGGUACCAUUAAUUGUGAUUAUCUAAGGUGUUAUUUCUGCAAUGAAAAUUGAGAUUUAACAUUAGUUCAAGAAGUGCUAAACAUAGGGAGUACACUCACGAAAGUAGAGGUGCACCUAUGUGGUUUUUAGUGAUUCAUUUCAUGUAAUUUCACUGAAGAAAUGAACUUGUAGCUACUUUCAUAACCAUGAGAAUAGGUAUGGAUUAGUUAUAAGUAUAAUUGAUUCACUACGAAAGUAGGAUUCAAAUGCAUAAGGAAAUUACACCAUAAUUAGCCUAGAUGUAGUAAUUAAUGAUCCAAAUAUAGCACUUGCAUGAGUAGUUAGGGAUACCACAACCUAAGGAGCUUUCAUUUGUUAUUUUGUAUAAUUUCAGUAGGUUAAAUUUGUUAUAAUUCAUUGAUAGUCUAAAUAAUAGAGAAACUUUAGUAAUACCGGUAAUUGUUCACUCUUCCCUGUGGGAUCGACCCGAUAUAUACCCUAAACUACUAGUUGAUCUGUAUACUUGCAGUGAACGGGUGUAAUUCGGUAUUUUUUAGCUUGCACGUAUGUAAAAUACCCGCCAGCAAUUGUCUAAAAAAGUGCUACUUUAUGAUUGCAAAAUAAGGUGGAAUUCUACCUAUGAGAUACUGACUUGUGCUCUUAAGUUUCAAGAAGUAUUUCUAAGAUUUAAAGAUAGAGAGUCAAACUAUGAUUUAUGUCCAACCACUGAAGAUUGGAAAAAGGUAGAAAAAGUGUGCAAUAUUUUACAAGUUUUUUGGACAGCAGCAACUCAUAUAAUAUUUGGUAAUAAUUAUCCAACAACUAAUUUAUAUCUAAAUGAAGUUUUUUGGAUAAAUGUAGUACCAGAUAGUAAGGAUGAUGAUGAAGAUUACUUUAUUUGGUCAGUAGUGCAAAGAAUGUAGGCGAAAUUUGACAAGUAUUGGGGUGAGUGUAAUUUGUUGAUGUCUAUAGUAGUUAUCUUGGGUCCCCAGUGCAAAAUGAGAGUCAUGAACUGUGUCUUUCCAUUGAUACAUCCUCCACAUAAAAUGCAAGUCAAUAUAAGCAAGAUCCAGCAAGCAUUGUAUGAUCUAUAUGACGAAUAUGUAGAUAUGCUAUAUCAAGUUCGAGUGGUUUAGGAGCGAGGUCUCAAAUAUUGGCCAGCAAUGAUCCACAAAACAAGAACAACAAUAGUAAUCUGCAACUGUAACACAUCUUUCAGGUAUGAGUGAAUUUCUCACUGAUAUUGCUUCUAUGGAAUGUGUUCAGCCACAAAAGAAUGAGUUGGAUUUCUACUUUGAAGAUGAUCUCC